rnacentral:lncRNA from 1 species
GUGAAGAUGGAGAUUGAAUUCACACCUCAUCACAUCUCAUAUAAAGGACAAUGUUUCAAGGACUCGUUUUGAGACACCGAAUCUCCCUGAUAAAGAACCAAAUGAAUUGUGGCUAGAAGCUAAAGAGGUCAUCAAGAAGGAGUCUGGGAGACAGCUAAAGAAGCUGGUGAGGCUUUGGAAACAAACAGCAAAAUAUGGCCCGAGCUAUGAGACUGUAACUCGUGUUACCAAAAUCUACAUGUACA